ensembl:lncRNA
AAGCCAAGCAUUGUCACAACUGCCAAACAAACUGAUGAACUACCAAAUACUUAAGAACAGAAAGAGAUUCAGUAAAGCUGUAGAAUAUAUUAUGUUUUCUCAAUUUCCAAAUGCAAUCUUUAUAAAGAUUUUAAAUCUUUAGUUAAACUACCCUCCAUAGAAUACAUCUUGCAGUCGAAAAGAUUCAGAACCUCCUUUGUCAGGUUGUGGAAAAUGAUGUCAGCAGAAGGUUGUAUAAGAUCCACUGAAAAUAGAGUCAGUUUCCGUAGCUGAAUCAGUUGAUUAAUUGGUGUUAAAUCAACACUUUUAGCUGAAAGCUUUGAUCUGUACUUAAAUGUCUCCACAGAUUUGAAAUACUGUCCCAUGAAUUCAGAUCCAGAAAGGAAAUCUUCAGCAUGAACAUCAAGAUGGAUUACAGACUUAAAGAAUGGUUUUUCACAGUCCUCAAAGGACACAGUCUUGCCUUUCAGUAUAAGACUCAGGUUCUGUUUGGAUGUGAUGUCACUGCCAAUAAACAAAUACAUUGGCCUCACCCAUGUAUAGAUAUACAGAUGAGUCAAUUGGCCCAAAGUGUCACCAAAUAUGAGUGUCAGAUUCAACUCAAUGACAGGUUCUGUUAGUGGGUUGUUUAAUUUCCCAAGAAACAAAUAUCUUAGAUAUGUAAAAUGCACGAAUGACAAUGCCUCAAUGUUGCAAAUUUGGAAGGCCCUGGCUAUUCCCAGUUGGAAGAAUUUGUGAAAAACAGCCUUCAAUGUACAGUAACAGGAGGACAGGUUUGGAAAACACAAACCUCAUCUUUUCCAACAUGAGUCAACUCUUCUGGGAUACUGUUGUUUGUUUGUUGUUGAAAUUGUUUGUAAAACUUUGGUUUGUUUCUUUAAAAAACUUCAGAAAGUCAUGCCAACAGAAUGGUGUCAGU